CAUUUGAAUACCCAAAUUAUAUUAAUUACAAAAAUAUAUAAAGACAUUCAUGGAAUACAAUAAGACAUUGAAUACAUUGAAAUAAAUGAAAUACACCAAGAUACAGUGAAAUACAAUAAAUACUUGGUGUUGUGAAGUAAAACUAAGAGAAGUCAAUGCUUCCUUCAUACAUGAAGUAAACCUUCCCUCAGCAACAGCAUGGUCUUUUAAAUGCUCCACCAUAUCAGCCAACCACUGAAUUGCCAUCUCGCAAUUCUCCUCUAAAAAUCUUAAUGCUUCUUCAAGUCUCUUGAGCACGCCAAGGUAUCCCGGGAGGUCUGAUUGAUUGAGGAUCGGACACGGACUUCUCUAGUCCAUAAAUGGCAUCAAACAAUUAGAGAACUGCGGUGGCAGGAACCACGGCACGGUUAAUAUGGUCACUCACAGCCCCAAGGGAAUCUUUCUAAUCCCUAAUUGGCCUAAUUGCAGCCUCCAACGAUGGCAGAGUCUUCGGCGGUGGUGAGGUUGAAGCAGAGUCUUCGCCGAGAAACUCUAAUUCGGAUGCUUUGCCAAAGAGUUUUGAUAGUAAGAAGAAGGUGAAAGAUAAGAGGGGGAGGAGGGGAGAAUAGAUACGGGAUAUGGGAUACGAGAAAUUUGAGAGGAUAAGAGAAAUUU
rnacentral:lncRNA from 1 species